AAAGUCACAGCCACUCGUCCCCCUACCAUGUCACAGCCACCCACACAUAUUGACACUGUAACGGAUCGCCUGGCACCCCGACUGGGUACCUCCGUUAAAGGAUGCUCCUAGCGCUUCCUGAGGACUCCAAGCACUGCAGCAGACACCACAAUCACCGAACCGGAGAAACAAAUAAAUUCUCCCAAGCAUAUGAAUGCUGUAGACAGUUGAAUAGGAACCAUACGAAUAGGUUUACUCUCCUAGCAGUCAAACUGGAACAGCAUAUAAUAAAUCCUUCCCCCAAUAAUGAGACGACACUUCACUUUGAGGGUUAAGCAGGAACUCUCUGUACUGUCACAUACAGUCUCUUUUAUUCCCAAUCCACAAACAUAGUACAGCCCACAGGGC